CGCUUCCCCCGCCCGCCCCCCUGUAGUGCCGCCUCCCCGGCAACGCUCCCCUGACGCCGCGGCGCCGCGCCCCCUGCGACGACGCCCUACGAGGGGAGGCAUCGUCCCCGACGCCGCCGCCCCCGACGCCGCGCCCACGAUGCCGCCGCCCCCGCCACCGCGCCCCUGACGCGCCGCCGCUGCCCCCGACGUCGCGCCCCACACUGCCCAGGAGGCACCCUGCCACGCCGCCGCCCCCGAUGUAGGUGCCUGCCUCCGCCGCCGCCGCAACCUGCUCAGAUGACACCCUGCCACGCCGCCGGUGUCUGCCAUCAACGUCCUGCUCAGCGUACGACGACGCCUACAAUCUGUUCGACAAAAUGUGGAUCAAGGGCCGGAAGCCUACAAGCUGACGACGACGCCUACCACCUGAACUGAACUCUGCGUUGCCGGAAGGCCGGAGCAGCCUUCAUCACCUGCAAAGAAGCUGGGCUUGGUGGGGCUUCACGAACAGGGCGUGCGGGGAGCAACUCGCCGGCGGCUGGACCACCUAUCUCUUCACUGUUGCCGGUGAGGCCAUCAACAGCUAGACCCGCACCACGGCAACUCCUUUGAGAUGACCGGCAAGGCACAUCUAAGACAAGACGAAGUGGAGGAUUUGAGUUUUUGGUUGCAAGGGGCAUCCACCGUGACUCUGUGCAUCUGAUUAAUGGCUCCACCAUAAAUCUUUGAAUUAAAUUUACUGCAUACAUGGCAUUUCAAAAAAUUGUAGGAAUUACAGCUCUAGACUGAUAAUCAAUGAACAGAAGGGCAUGCUGUGCUGCUAAUCAAGUUGCCCGGUGCUUCUGCAGCCUCCUCAUGGUAGAUAUGGUGGCCAGCUUUCUUCUAAUUGACCAUGCCUGUGUCAAAGGCUCGGUCAUCCAGAUUUUAAUCUCAGCUACUCUAGCCUCCGUGUCUAGACUUGAAUAUAUUUCGAUCCGCAACACAGGCUGACUAACAACAAGUUGUGCUUUUGUGGCUCCGAUGAACUUCUAUGUAGCUGUGUACACAUCUAAAAAAGAUUCAGUACAUGUUUUGGUGCUUAAGGGCUGCUAUGAUAAUUGAAAGAAUCCUUCUUAUUUGUGCAAACUAAUUUAAAUUAGCGCUGAUUCCAGCAACACGAUGUGUUGUUAUGGGUGGGGGGGUGUCAGAAGGAGCAUAGUGGCAGCGCUCGUCACUCAAGUUCUACCGGAUCAUGAAUUUCUUUGAGCAAUUGUUAUUUUACUUGGUUGCGUUGCGAAAGAAUUCAUGGCCGCUCUAAGAGGUCUCUCACUCUCCAAUGCUGGGCGCAGUGGAAAGCAAGAGGGGAGGUGCUGACCACCAUGGUGAUGAGAAGAAGAUUAUUGUAUUCCAGGAAUUGAUUUGAAGUGCCUAAAAAAGCAAUUGAUUUGAAGUGCCUAAAAAAGCAUCUAAUCACAUAGUAGUCUUGGGGUUUGAGAAAUACAAAAGAAAUAUCAAUUUCUUGUGGUUACUUUUUCUUUUGGAAAAAUGUAGUAGUGCUUCAUCACUGUUUGUUGAAUAAUUGAUAAUUGAUACUUAAGGUUUGCGUAUAUUCUAGAAUAUUUGAACAUCCAUUGCAUUCCUGACCAA